rnacentral:rRNA from 1 species
AGCGGAGGAAAAGAAACCAACUGGGAUUACCUUAGUAACGGCGAGUGAAGCGGUAAAAGCUCAAAUUUGAAAUCUGGUACUUUCAGUGCCCGAGUUGUAAUUUGUAGAAUUUGUCUUUGAUUAGGUCCUUGUCUAUGUUCCUUGGAACAGGACGUCAUAGAGGGUGAGAAUCCCGUUUGGCGAGGAUACCUUUUCUCUGUAAGACUUUUUCGAAGAGUCGAGUUGUUUGGGAAUGCAGCUCAAAGUGGGUGGUAAAUUCCAUCUAAAGCUAAAUAUUGGCGAGAGACCGAUAGCGAACAAGUACAGUGAUGGAAAGAUGAAAAGAACUUUGAAAAGAGAGUGAAAAAGUACGUGAAAUUGUUGAAAGGGAAGGGCAUUUGAUCAGACAUGGUGUUUUUUGCAUGCACUCGCCUCUCGUGGGCUUGGGCCUCUCAAAAAUUUCACUGGGCCAACAUCAAUUCUGGCAGCAGGAUAAAUCAUUAAGAAUGUAGCUACUUCGGUAGUGUUAUAGCUUUUUGGAAUACUGUUAGCCGGGAUUGAGGACUGCGCUUCGGCAAGGAUGUUGGCAUAAUGGUUAAAUGCCACCCGUCUUG